CUAAUGCCUGUGACGUGCUGGGUGGGAUGCCUCCUGCCUGACGCAGGCCAAGGUGGGCACUCGUGGCUCGUUCUUAGACCUUCCAACCCUGGGGCAGGAGUAGCCCUGUCCUAAGAGUGGCCCUGCUGUGCCAGGGCCCCAGGGACAACCCCAUCCUGCUGGACUGGCCAGGAUGAUACCGUUCAAAUGACACUGGCUGCUCUGGACGAGACGGAGACAGUCACAUUCUUGGCAACACCAAGGGGGAGCCCAGAUGCCGCAGUGAUGGGCACUGAGCUGAGACCCAAGAGAGACCACAUCUGUGCAGACCAUACAUGGUGGCACAGACUCUCCCAGAGCGCUGCAAUUUCCUGUGCCAGUCAUCCGAGGGGAAGGCUCAGACAGUUACUGAUCCAUGAGAAGACCUUCCCUUUUGUCCCAUGACUGCUUAGUUUGCUUAAGAGCCUUUGGUGAGGGACCUUUCAAAAGCUUUCUGGAAGUCCAGGUACACUAUACUGAUUGGAUCACCCUUGUCCACAUGCUUGUUGGCACCCUCGAAGAAUUCUAAGUGAUUGGUGAGGCAUGAUUUCCCUUUACAAAAGCCGUGUUGACUCUUCCCCAAUAUAUUGUGU